CCUACGGGAGGCAGCAGUGGGGAAUAUUGGGCAAUGGAGGAAACUCUGACCCAGCGACGCCGCGUGCGGGAUGAAGGCCUUCGGGUUGUAAACCGCUUUCAGUAGGGAAGAAGCGAAAGUGACGGUACCUACAAAAGAAGCACCGGCUAACUAUGUGCCAGCAGCCGCGGUAAUACAUAGGGUGCAAGCGUUGUCCGGAAUUAUUGGGCGUAAAGAGCUCGUAGGUCGUUUGUUACGUCGGAUGUGAAAACCUGAGGCUCAACCUCAGGCCUGCAUUCGAUACGGGCAAACUAGAGUUUGGUAGGGGAGACUGGAAUUCCUGGUGUAGCGGUGGAAUGCGCAGAUAUCAGGAGGAACACCAAUGGCGAAGGCAGGUCUCUGGGCCAAUACUGACACUGAGGAGCGAAAGUCUGGGGAGCGAACAGGAUUAGAUACCCUGGUAGUCCAGACCGUAAACGGUGGGCACUAGUUGUGGGAACCUUCCACGGUUUCUGCGACGCAGCUAACGCAUUAAGUGCCCCGCCUGGGGAGUACGAUCGCAAGAUUAAAACUCAAAUGAAUUGACGGCNGAGAGUGCGAGACGACGACGAGGAGAG
rnacentral:rRNA from 1 species